UUUAAAGUCUGACCUGCCCAAUGAGGAGUUGAAUGGCCGCGGUAAUUUGACCGUGCAAAGGUAGCAUAAUCAUUAGUUUUUUAAUUGAAAGCUGGAAUGAACGGUUGGACGAGAAAAUAACUGUCUCAAUUUAAUUGGAUGUAGAAUUUUAUUUAUAAGUAAAAAAGCUUAUAUGAAUUUAAAAGACGAGAAGACCCUAUAGAGUUUUAUAGUUUUUUGUAUUAAAAAAUUUUAGUAUGUUUAUAUUUUUGAUGUAAAAAAUUAUUUUGCUGGGGCAGCAGAAAAAUUUAUUAAACUUUUUUUAUAUAAUUUUACAUUGAUUUAUGAUUUGAUGAUCCAUUAUUAAUGAUUAUAAGAUUAAAUUACCUUAGGGAUAACAGCGUAAUUUUUUUUUAGAGUUCUUAUCGAAAAAAGAGUUUGCGACCUCGAUGUUGGAUUAAAAUUAACUUUUGGUGUAGGGGCUAAAUGGUUAGGUCUGUUCGACCUUUAAAAUUUUACAUGAUCUGAGUUUAAACCGGCGUGAGCCAGGUUGGUUUCUAUCUUUAAAAAGAAUGGAUAUCUUAGUACGAAAGGAUCAGAUAUCCUUAAAAUUUAAUAUAUUAUGAAUUGGAUUAAAUUA
rnacentral:rRNA from 1 species